CUGAGGAGACACGUCUGGAGAGCAGAACUUGCACUGCACAAUGACCGGACUGGCAGGGAUGGGGAGAGCCAGGGCUCCACUCCCUCCCUUGCCAUGGAAAGCAGAAAAGCAAAACAUUUGACACUUUUGUCCCUGAGGCAACUACAGGAGCUCAAGGUGAGAAAUCCCCCUUCUCAGCCCUUCCCUCUCAGCCAUUUGUAAGGGAGAGCUUGUCUUCAUUGCAAUGCAUGAAGUCUGUGGACAGAAACCUUGUGAUGCUGGGGUCUUCUGCAGGUCCCAGGCUGAACUUGCACUGGGCCCUUGGGACCAGAUCCUGGCUCCAGAAAAGCAGCUGUUCAUUGAGCUCAUGCAAAUCUGCUGGUACCUGCAUGAGAGCCCAGGACUACAAAGCCAAGCCUGGAGAAGGAAGCACAAACCCUGGAAAACACAAGAAAAAAUCCCAGGCAGCACAGCACCAGACCUGGUGAACUUCAGUGAACUCUAAUGUAUUGUUUCUGAGAGUAAAAAUUGUCCACCGUAGAAGACCUGAGCAAGUGGUUGUCUUGGGGUGACUUAUGAUGAUAAUCUGUUCCAUGAUCCUCUGCUUUGUGCCCCAAAGUGGUUGCCGUAUGUUUAAGGUGUGUGGCUGGAGUUGCGGGUAGCCUUGGGCUCUUUGCCGAGCUUUUUCUAAGCCUCACUCCCUAGGGUGCGGCACUGUCUGAUUUUCCUUGGCUAGCUUGGUUUUGUUAGCCCAGGCAAGAAGUUUUUCCCUUCCCUGGCCUUGGAGAAGCUGCAGCAGCAAACCUUCAGCUAUCUUUGAGGUGAACUGGACAGCUUGUUAGCCCGAACUAGAGAAACGGGAGAGGGGCCGCUCCGUUCCGGCCCCACACCUCGGGAAGCCGAACUGGGGAGAGAAAGGAAACCAAGAGGUUCCAGCCCAGCUGCUUCCU
rnacentral:lncRNA from 1 species